AUAUCAAUAAGCGGAGGAAAAGAAACUAACAAGGAUUCCCCUAGUAACUGCGAGUGAAGCGGGAAAAGCUCAAAUUUAAAAUCUGGCGGUCUUCUGGCCGUCCGAGUUGUAAUCUGGAGAAGCGUCUUCCGCGCCGGACCGUGUACAAGUCUCUUGGAACAGAGCGUCAUAGAGGGUGAGAAUCCCGUCUUUGACACGGACUACCGGUGCUUCUGUGAUGCGCUCUCAAUGAGUCGAGUUGUUUGGGAAUGCAGCUCAAAAUGGGUGGUAAAUUCCAUCUAAAGCUAAAUAUUGGCGAGAGACCGAUAGCGAACAAGUACCGUGAGGGAAAGAUGAAAAGCACUUUGGAAAGAGAGUUAAACAGUACGUGAAAUUGUUGAAAGGGAAACGCUUGAAGUCAGUCGCGUCUGCCGAGGAUCAACCUUGCUCUUUUGCUUGGUGUAUUUCUUGGUUUGACGGGUCAGCAUCAAUUUUGACCAUCGGAUAAAGGCCAGAGGAAUGUGGCAUCUUCGGAUGUGUUAUAGCCUUUGGUCGCAUGCGGUGGUUGGGAUUGAGGAACUCAGCACGCCUUUAUGGCCGGGGUUCGCCCACGUACGUGCUUAGGAUGCUGGCAUAAUGGCUUUAAGCGA
rnacentral:rRNA from 1 species